UGGACGAUAUCCUAAUGGUAAGGAGACUCACUGUAAAUGAGUUUGUUAACGCAGUUGGUGGUUCGAUUCCUCCUCGUCCAA
rnacentral:tRNA from 1 species